CCACCUUUGUUGCAUUUCCUGCUGCAUAACCUUUAAUCUGGGCAGCUCAGCAGCUACCAAGACCAUAAACCUGCACCACACCAGCACCUUCUGCUGUUCAGUCUACCAGAAACAGUUUUCUGCUGUACUUUUUCUGGUCCUCAUUAAAUGGCUUUGUUUGUUAUCAACAGUUUCCACACAACCAGAAACAGGAAAGUCCACAGGCUUCCCCAGCCUGCCCACACAUCAGCUCAGCAUUACCGUGCCCACAUCUCAGGAUACACCUUUGACUUCAGUUUAUUGGUAGGAAAUUCAGUUUGCUGCAGUGUGCCACAAGCGUCUGGGACAGAAAAAAAGGCAAAGGUUGGCAUUUUGCUUCUUGUUAAUCACUUGAUUUAUUGUCUUUGCCAAUGGGCUUUUUAUUUGAGCUGAGCGUGCCUACAGAGUGCGGCACAUCCUGCUGACAAAAGUGUGAGUUAGAGCUCUAAUAUUUGUAUACAGUCUCAGCGGGAAAGAAAUGUGCAUGGAAAGCACAGUGGGGGAAAGCUGGAAGUGAGGACAAAGCAAAGGAACCAAUCCAAGAAAAAGGACAGAUGAAAAUGAGGAAAAACAAAUUGAAAAACAUUAGUUAAAAAUCUGAAUUGCUGACAGUGCAAAUUGUAUCUGAUGAUAUUUACCAAAUGGAACUGGAAAAAAGAGCGUGAUCUUAACUGCUCCAACAGCCAGCUCUGCCAAAAAGGGAGGUGCCAGCACACCAGCGCCAGUAUCUGUGUUGCAAAAUUUGCUGGCAGUAACAAAACGUUUGGUGUAGAAGGUCACAGACCAUGCUAUGUGCCAAGGAAGUCAAGAAUGAAUACAGAACUGAGGCCAAGCUUCAGUUUUAAUCAAAGCUGUGCCUGGCUCCAAUUUCAACAUAAUAUCAAGAAAAUACAGAUGCCAACAUGUAUUAAACACAGCAGAAUAAGGUACUGAAAGGAUGCGCUGAGGUCUUGGAGCCUUCACCUCUGCAGCUGAGCAACCACGACUCCCUCAGCCUUUCCUCACAGGAAAGAUGUUCCAUGUCUCAAAUCAUUUUUGUGGCUCUCCUCUGGACCCACUCCAGUGGAUGCCACAGAACGUAAGCUAAACUGAAGAGUGACAUCCAGAUCACAUCCAGAUGUGCUCACAGUGAGGAAUCCAUCAAGCUGCAAGGGAUCUGAACCAGGGGCCUCAGAAGGAAGCCAAUACAGCAAGCUCUGGAUAUACAGCCAUUUCAAAAUGAAAGUUAAACUCACAAGACUGGAUUAAAGAAAAUACAGUGUUAAUUGACUGCGUAGAGGGAACUGGUGUACUUGUUAGGACAUUUACUGGAGAGCAAACUGAUGAUUUUAAAUGGGAAAAGGUAAAAAAGAAAAGGAAAUGGAAGCAGGGAAAGGAGAGGAAAAAGGCAUGGUAUUUGCAAAUAACAGGCCCACAGGUAAAUACAAUCAAGGAUUCCUUUACUAAGAACUACAAGCUGCUAGAAGUUUAUCAUCUUACACAUUAAGCUUUCAACUGACCGAAAACAUCUAAGAGAAACCUUAAGAAAAAUUGCUGACUUGAGGAGGGAGAAUUUGUGUUUGAAGUAUUCACUUCCUGAUGGCUUAGCUGAGAGGUAAAUGAAACAAGAGGAACAGGCUACUAAUGGGACUUCACAAGAACAUUUAAUAACUACUCCAGGCCUCUCAGCUAUUAGACACCUUCUGUGGCCAAAUCCCCGAUUAUCUAAAUGUAUUCCUGAGAUUCUUGAUGCUUCAAGGUCACAGUAUGCCCUUAUACAUACUGGGGAAUAGUUCACUAGACAGUCCAUUAUAAAAGAAUCAAUUUAUCUUAAACUAUAUUCUGUUGUUUUGUACCAACAGCUUUGCCUUCAGACAUUGCAUAUUCUUCCUCCAACUUACAAUAUAAGCCCUGUAGAUAUUUUGAAUACAUAUUCAUAACAAGAAUAUUCAACUAAUUCCAGCACUUUGUUCAAAUUCCUGACAUCGAUACAUCUUUCAUAAAAAAUUAUAGGUUGUACCAAGAGGACAUCUGUGUUUAGAAAGCUGUCAUUAUGGUGCUGCAAACUUUCCAAAAAAGCUCUGAGAAGAGCAAUCAGUUGUUGAGCAGAUGCCAAAUACCAAUGAAACAUGACUGACUUUCCACAUUUUGCAUACUACUAUGAAACAACAACAACAGCCAAAAAAAAUUAAGGUCACAUCUUCCACUUCUUUCUCAUGUGAAAUAUUACAGCUAAACCAAAUGUCCCCUUUGCCCAAGAAAUGAAUGCAGACUAGAGAUGUUUGAAGAAAAGAUUAUGGUCGAAGCAGUAGCAAAGAGGCAUAGCCAGUGAUGAAAGAGAAGAGUUAGCACCUAUUCUGCCAUCAUGACAGUGACAGUCAGGGCUGGCACUCCUGAAUUCAACAGGAAUUAAGCUGACAUUGGUAAAACUUGUUUUGAAGAUAUUUCAAAGGUACCCAUCUGUACAGGAGCCAGUAACCUGCUGUACUUUGGUGGCAUAGAUAUAAUGAAAACUUAUUUUCAUCUCCAUUGUUGGCCAAGCAUAUUUUAUGAAACAGGCAGGUUAAGUAAGAUCAAUUACCUGGUACCAUCAUCAUUAACUGAAUUAACUAAAGUGCUCCAAUGGAACUCCAGAACUCAUUUGUUGUCUUUUUUUUUUUUUUCUUUUUUUUUUUAACAGUGAGAGUGGAUACUGAACCUGCUUUCCAGAAUCAGAAAAGUUAUAGUCACAUCUCAGUUAAGUUCCAAGAGAUAAAGACAAAACUGUUUUCAGUGAGAAACAUCAGAUAAUAAACAUAAGCAUGCACAUAAAUAUGGACAGUAAUUGUCUAAUAAUGGUCUGCUUUUCCAGACACAGAGGCUAUAGGUCUUUUGUUUGCUUAGCAUGUUGAUGAUGUAUUUUCCUAUAAUUUCCUCUUUUUAAUCCAAGCCAUUACUGGUUGGAUUCCCUAAAACAAUAGACCCUAAGAACUAGACAAAAAAUGACUGCUGUCUGCUCAAGGUGUUAAUGAAUGAUUGGAGGUUUCAGACCCAUCACUUGAUGGCAAUUAUGACAUGCAGAACAACAGAAAGGUCAUCGCACUUUGGUUUUUAAUUUAAGGCUGAUGACUCAUUCACAUCAAAUGUGCUGUGGUAAUUUCGCAGUUAUUCAUUAUUUAGGAACAUGUCUAAAAGUGUAAAACAAAGUACUAAUAAUGGCAGAUGGAACAAAACAGAGAGAGGCUUAUGGUAGUUUGCUUGCUCAAAGAUUGCCAUAGAAUGUUUUAAGUUAUUUCAUUUUCACAGUAAUAGUCAUGGAGCAAAAAUGUAAGACUCGGGGUAUUUUCACUGAAGGAGCAGCAUGUCAAGUAAGAAAAAAAAUGACUGAAAAGCUUGGUAAAACAAGACAGACUUGCAGUACAAAUUUGCUGAUAUAUUUUUAUGAACGUAUAUGAUAGAAAAUAACAUUUUAAAAUAUUAAUUAAUGCAGUUUCAUUCUAAAUAUAUCAUUGACCAAGCAGAAUACAGGUGCAAAGAUGUUUGGCAGCAGCCUCUGCUUUCAGUAUUUUGUUAUUGAUAGCUCAAAAUUAAAUGCGUUUUCAAAUAAAGAAAAUUCAUCUAUUCAUCAUUUUCUAGAUUCUUCCACUUUGGUAUGUUUUUAAGAAAUAAA